GUAGCAGUUAUAGCUCUGAUCGAGGUGAUUACCCUGACUGAAAGUCAUUUGCAUACACAUAAAAUCUUGGCUACUACACUACACUAGAGAGUUCAUUACCUGUGUAUAGGCAAAACAUUUUAUGAUCUUCGCUCUCAAAGCUAUCCUAAACUUUGAAUUGACUAUUUCAUCCCUUUUAGACAUUGCAUUUCCUUCUUCCAAACUCCCAAUGAGCUUUGAGUUAAAUCGUGUUGUAUCUUGUUGUAUCUCAAAAUGAACUGAUGAAUGUGCGACGAGUGGGCGAAACAAACCUGUUAGACUCCGUCAUCACUAGGAAAACACUGCGUGAUUAGCAGUUAGGGUUCAUGUCACUGUAGGCUAUUCAAAAAGGGGGCGAAAGGUGCGACGACAUCAGGAUCUUGUGGUUCUGUUGAUAAUAAAGGCUCUCUCUCUCUUUCUCUCUCGGCUGUUGCGCUCUUUCCCUCGCUCUGUAAAUGCUUUCGUCUGUUCAAAUUCCAUAGUCGCCUAGCCGGCUGCACUUUCAUACGCUAUAAACGUUGUCUGGAUCUGAAAAUGCAAUUUUGAUGGGAAGAACGUUCUAAUGUCCUUCUGGGGAAUACAAGGGCGACUCGACACUGUUUCAAGAUAGACAAAGGUGUCCUCACACGCGUAUCACAAUGGAUCUCUCAUUUAUGGCUGCGCAGUCGGUCAUGGCGGGGGCCUUCAUGGACUCGCCCAAUGAUGACGACAGCACGGACCACUCACUUUUCAACUCCUCGGCCAGCGUCCAUGCCGCCUCUAUGGCGGCCCAUGACCAGCCGGAGCGGGAGCCCAUGUCCCGCGACGCCAUCUGGCUUUGGAUUGCAAUCACCGCCACCAUAGGGAACAUUGUGGUCGUGGGAGUGGUGUACGCUUUCACUUUCUGAGUGGUGGAAGCCAUGAUGGAGACAUGCCAGCAGGAGGAAGCUUCUGGACAAGACAUUUGGACAUGAGCUAGGAACACCACAGCAGCCAACGGCCACUCUCAAAGUCUACACUGUUACAGAGCAGUGAAUGAUUCUUGCAUUGGCAUCUUGUCCAAGCAUUUGAAAGACAAGGCAUUGUUCACAAUUACAGAAAUUAAUAUGUGUAAUAUGUUGGUCAUGUUACUGCAGCCAAAGGUCAAAAUAUGGAAUAUUGUAUACAUUAGUGCUGUUGACUAUACAUUAAGAUGUUAACAUUUCUGAUGAAGCUUUAAAUAGUGAACAGUGAUGUACUCUGAAUACCCUCAGAUGUGAUUGGUAAAUUCUGAAAUCAUUGGACGUAAAAUAUUCAGAUAAUAAAACCUUAGUAAUGUGCCGUUUGGAGCGUUUAGAGAUCAUUGAAUGGAAAGUAACACCGGUAAGUUUUUAACAUGUCUUUAACAUCACAGUCGUUACUGUAUUCUACAUAUAUCUGCCCAAAAUAUGGAGUUUAUGACAAACAUACUAGACACAGAAUGUCCAAAGAUCUUUACUGUCUGCAUGACAAUAUAGUUCCACCUGACAGCAUCAGUUUUGGAUCAAGUUAAUCUAGUUCUCCGCUUUUCUCCUCUUUUUUGCCUAAGUGAGCCUUGAGUGCUGAAUAGACAAUAUUUUCCCAGCAUAUUUAUAUCUAAGAUGGUAGGGGUAACCUAAAUCUAUUUCUCUUAAACACUCCUAUCAGACCUCAAACCCAUAUGAGCGGGAACUACAAUUUAUAGGAAUGGAUGUUCACCUUGAACACUUUUCACAGAUGUUUACAUGUGGAAACAACAUUCCUCACACUUAGAAGUCACUUGGAUUCAAGUCUAGUGUACAUACAUCUUGAUGUGACUGCUGUAACCAUUUCAAUGUCGGUCUUGAUGUAUAUUUUGAUCGAGUAUUAUCUUUCUUCCUCUUUAUAGUCUCAAACACAUUGUAACCCAAACUGCCUUCCAAGCCAAAUAGUUUUAAUGAGCCCUGGAUGCGACAAUAGUCAGUUGCCAUAGCGAUGCAUCUCUGUCGCUAUGUGCCUCAAAGAUACCAUGUCUCUCGUUCCCAGUGCAGCACACCUGUUUAUCUCUCUCUAAACUCCCUAGCACAUCUACCUAACAGACACACACACACACACACACACACACACACACACACACACACACACACACACACACACACACACACACACACACAGGCUCUUUACAUGUGGACAUCGAUCACAUCAUACAUUAGCUGAUACUCUAUAACAUUAAGAGUCAACUUAGAUACCAUAAGUUGAAUGAUACUCUACACAUAUGAGCUUUAGAGCUCAAAUUGUUUUCUACUGCUGGUUGCCCUUAGAUACCAUAAGCAUUUCAUAUAGUAGAGCAGGACUCUCCAACCCUGUUCCUGGAGAGCUACCCUCCUGUAGGUGUUCUCUCCAACCCUGUUCCGGGAGAGCUACGCUUCUGAAGGUGUUCUCUCCAACCCUGUUCCUGGAGAGCUACCCUCCUCUAGGUGUUCUCUCCAACCCUGUUCCUGGAGAGCUACCCUCCUCUAGGUGUUCUCUCCAACCCUGUUCCUGGAGAGCUACCCUCCUCUAGGUGUUCUCUCCAACCCUGUUCCUGGAGAGCUACCCUCCUCUAGGUGUUCUCUCCAACCUUGUUCCUGGAGAGCUACCCUCCUCUAGGUGUUCUCUCCAACCUUGUUCCUGGAGAGCUAUCCUCCUCUAGGUUUUCAUUCCAACCCUAAUACAGCACACCUGAUUCAAAUAAUUAGCUGGUUGAUGAGCAGAAUCCGGUCAGUUACAACUGGGGUUGCAGCAAAACUACUGGAGGGUAGCUCUCCAGGAACAGGGUUGGAGAGAACACCUACAGGAGAGUUGCUCUCCAGGAACAGGGUUGGAGAGAACACCUACAGGAGAGUAGUUCUCCAGGAACAGGAUUGGAGAGAACACCUACAGGAGAGUAGCUCUCCAGGAACAGGGUUGGAGAGAACACCUACAGGAGAGUAGCUCUCCAGGAACAGGAUUGGAGAGAACACCUACAGGAGAGUAGCUCUCCAGGAACAGGAUUGGAGAGAACACCUACAGGAGAGUAGCUCUCCAGGAACAGGAUUGGAGAGAACACCUACAGGAGAGUAGCUCUCCAGGAACAGGAUUGGAGAGAACACCUACAGGAGAGUAGCUCUCCAGGAACAGGAUUGGAGAGAACACCUACAGGAGAGUAGCUCUCCAGGAACAGGAUUGGAAAGCCCUGCUCUUCACAUAUUGUGUUUACCCCGGAGAGCCAGAAUAGUUGUCUACUGCUUUUACUGUGUGCCCUUGGUGCACAUUGGUGUCAGCGGUGGGAUUCAGAGAAAGUUACCAGACAGAGGGCAUCCACACCUCCAAACCCCAAAGUCACUCUCUAAAUUGCAGCAGGCAGACACUAAGCUCCCCUUUAAGUGUAGUGUUGAGACUGGGAGGCUACAUCUCUGAUGUGUCUCUGCCUCAUCGUAGAGCAGACCCCAGGAGGUCAAACACAACAUUAAUACAGUCACAGUUUGUGAAUAGUCAAAGUCUGCUUUUCAAAUGGCACCCUAUUCCCCAAAUAACACACUGUGGGCCCUGGUCAAAAGUAGUGCACUAUGUAGGGAAUAGGGCACCAUUUGGGAUGCUGACAUUUGUUUGACUGUGACGGCAGGGACGGUCACCGCGUGAUGUAGUCCUGGGAUAGGGGAUACAAUGUCCUUUUGAUUAUAAUGGAUGAGACCUUCAUAUGGUUUGGUGUGAUAAGUUGGUCCGUUAUUAACCUUGAUUAAUCAAUCAUUAACGGAGAGAUGGAUGACUUGUUGAAGCGGUCUUAAUGAUAUGCUGAUUAAGAAAUCUCUCUUUUUCUGGAGAAGUAUGAUUUUUUUUAAUGAGAUUGAGCUCAAUUAAAAAAUAUAUAAUUUAAUUUGGGCGUAGAUGGAUUUGAUGUGAAAUCAGAUAUUAACCCCAUUCUAGAUUAUCCAUAUAAAAUUGUCCAAACAGCAAACUAUUUCAAGACAAUAACUCAGAAGACGUAUACAUGGAUGUUUGAGUACGCUCUGCAUACUCUGAGCAGUUGAUUAUGACUUUGUUCCAGUUCGUUAACUAAGUAUUCAAGGUCUUACUGAAAAUACCAUUUGUAAAGAUAGAUGGUGUGAUAAUCCACACUGUUCUUCACUUGCAGUGUAACUAUGGUCUUUUGUAUCAGUUAUUAUGUAUGUACUAUUAAAAUGUAGUUUGGUAAAUGUCAUCAAUAAAUGUCAUGUGGCUGGGUGUGAUCAUUCACAGAAACACAGAAUCAUCCUUGAGGAUACAUUUUAUUUGAUCUAAUGUUAUUUCAUUAAAGUUGUCUAAAAAUAAUUCAAGUAUAUGUCACAGGAGUCAUUAAGCAUGUUCUCAUGUUCUUCUGUCAUUCUCAAUAUCAUCCUCACAUGCAAUAAUUAUUAUGUUCAGAGAUAAUAAUCUGAAUGGCAUUAACCAGUGUGAGAUGAUUGAUGAGUGUUUCAAUAUCCAAGCAGUUUCUCAACCUCAAUCGAUCACAGAAAUGCUGCAUUAUGUUUCAUAUGAAGCUCUACUGGUUGGUAUUGAAACGCUGAUGUUUCAGAUUACUUUUAUCAUGCCAGUGGCCUACAGAAUGC
rnacentral:lncRNA from 1 species